rnacentral:rRNA from 1 species
UACGUAGGUGGCGAGCGUUGUCCGGAUUUAUUGGGCGUAAAGCGCGUGCAGGUGGUUGGUUAAGGCCGAUGUAAAAUCUCCCGGCUCACCUGGGAGGGCGCGUUGGCGACUGGCCGACUGGAGGCAGGUAGAGGCCGGUGGAAUUCCCGGUGUAGUGGUGGAAUGCGUAGAGAUCGGGAGGAACACCAGUGGCGAAAGCGACCUUCUGGGCUGCACCUGACACUCUAGUGCGAAAGCGUGGGGAGCAAACGGG